UGAGGUGAGAAAUUUUUCACAUGCUUAACCUCGUUUAAUCUUUGUAUGGAUUUAUCCCUUGAAUAUCAAACAGUCAAUAUGGAAAUUUGGCCUAAAGACAAGAAAAUGUUCGACGUUCCGGUAAUAGAAACAAAAUGCUAAUCAUGGUUAAUGCAGCUGCAAUGGCUCAAUAAAACCUAAUUGUCAUUGGGAAUGACGUCCUUGUCCAUGGCAAACAAGAGGAAAUAAAAAGGAGGGGCCUGUGAAAAGAAAGAGACUCGAAAUAGCAAAAAUGACUAAUGAGACUUGGCUGGGGGCCAGAGAAAAAGGAAGGUGCAUAGAUGAUAUGUCCUUGACCAGACGUUCCUGAUGCUAUUCCCACAGCACAUAGGGAUGUGUGCUCUUCUAGCUGCGUUUCUCUUUCUCUCUAUCUCUCUCUGACCCUUAUGACAAUUUUCAGAGACUUGGAACGUGUCCUUUCGCCUUUGACUUUGCCCAUUCCCAUCAACCACACCAUCCUUUGAGAUCUACCGCGUCACUCGUAUCUGCUCUCUGAUUAACAUCGCAUGUACAAAAUCAACAGAAUUGUAUUUAUAUUAUAUUAUCAUCUCUUGGUGAAGCAGGCGAACAAAAGUUGCCUGUUGGCUUGGCAAAUUGAAGUCAUCCUCUUCUGCUAAAGAAUCUUUAGGGGAUCAUGGAAUUGAAUUUGUACAAAAGCCAGCUGAAGCCGAAAAGGAUGGUACAAAAAAGAGCAGGCGCAGUAGACACUGGACAAUGAAUGGUUGAUCGAUGAAACUAUUAUAUCUAUGUAUACGGAUGUCCUAAAGUCAAUUGAAAAAGAGAAGCAUCAUUGCAUUUUGUCAACAUCACAUUUUCAACAAUAUAAAACAAAUUCAUACCUUAUAAAUAUAUAUUAUAUAGCAUUAUAGCCCCACUCACUUUGACCAGGCAAUGAAGCCCCAGCCAGCAUCCCAAUUCACAUGCACCCAUAUCUACCAGCUAGCUCUAGCAAAGAGAUAAAUAAGCUUUUUUUUCCAAAAAAAAAAAAGUUGAGCAGUAA
rnacentral:misc_RNA from 1 species